rnacentral:rRNA from 1 species
UCGAAAGCCUGUCUCAGUUCGGAUUGGAGGCUGAAACCCGCCUCCAUGAAGUUGGAUUCGCUAGUAAUCGCGCAUCAGCCAUGGCGCGGUGAAUACGUUCCCGGGCCUUGUACACACCGCCCGUCAAGCCAUGGGAGCCGGGGGUGCCUGAAGUUCGUGACCGCAAGGAGCGACCUAGGGCAAAACUGGUGACUGGGGCUAAGUCGUAACAAGGUAGC